UGGGAAGCAUGCUUUCUGCAGUCAAGCCAGUUAGACUCGAAAUAUUUGAAUUUAACAAGUCUAUAUCGAAAUAUUUGCAUUUAGCAUGGCGUUGAGAAUUUUAAAGUGCAUAUUAUCCAGUGAUUAUUAUGAUAGAUGACUUGAACUUAAUUGUAAAUGCUCAUUUGAGGAAACACAUGUCUGAACAGGGUGACUAGGCCGCAUGGGCGAGGAAAAUGUGGAGACCCAAUGAUUGAUAUCUAAUCAAUCUUACCCUUUGAGGUGGCUACACACGUGGACAGAGGGUGGUGCACAUUAUACUACAUGACGGAACUGGCUUUAGUGUGGAUGGAUCCCCUGGAGAAACACAAGGAUGGGACUACAACAUGGCUGCUGUAACUUACAAGGUGACCUCAUGGCUCAUUAAUUAAUGUUCC